AAUGCUAAGAGAAUGGAUUUACAAUAAAUUUCUUUUUUAAAUUUUUAAAAAUUGAAGUUAAUUUUAUUUGUGCAGAAGCAAUAAUAUAUAUUAAUGACAAGAAGACCCUGAGAAUUUAUUAUUAUGAAAUAAUAAAUAGAAAUUUCAAAAUGUUAAUUGGGGCGAUUGAUAAAAAUUAAAAACUUUAUUUAAAAUAAAAUAAAAUGAUCCAUUAAUAAUGAUUAUAUGAAAAAAUACUCUAGGGAUAACAGCG
rnacentral:rRNA from 1 species